rnacentral:rRNA from 1 species
GACGAACGCUGGCGGCGUGCCUAAUACAUGCAAGUCGAACGAGAGCGACCGGUGCUUGCACUGGUCAAUCUAGUGGCGAACGGGUGAGUAACACGUGGGUAACCUGCCCAUCAGAGGGGGAUAACAUCCGGAAACGGAUGCUAAAACCGCAUAGGUCUUCGAGCCGCAUGGCUUGAAGAGGAAAAGAGGCGCAAGCUUCUGCUGAUGGAUGGACCCGCGGUGCAUUAGCUAGUUGGUGAGGUAACGGCUCACCAAGGCCGUGAUGCAUAGCCGACCUGAGAGGGUGAUCGGCCACAUUGGGACUGAGACACGGCCCAAACUCCUACGGGAGGCAGCAGUAGGGAAUCUUCCGCAAUGGACGCAAGUCUGACGGAGCAACGCCGCGUGAGUGAAGAAGGUUUUCGGAUUGUAAAACUCUGUUGUUAGAGAAGAACAAGUGCUAGAGUAACUGUUAGCGCCUUGACGGUAUCUAACCAGAAAGCCACGGCUAACUACGUGCCAGCAGCCGCGGUAAUACGUAGGUGGCAAGCGUUGUCCGGAUUUAUUGGGCGUAAAGCGAGCGCAGGCGGUUCCUUAAGUCUGAUGUGAAAGCCCCCGGCUCAACCGGGGAGGGUCAUUGGAAACUGGGGAACUUGAGUGCAGAAGAGGAGAGUGGAAUUCCAUGUGUAGCGGUGAAAUGCGUAGAUAUAUGGAGGAACACCAGUGGCGAAGGCGACUCUCUGGCCUGUAACUGACGCUGAGGCUCGAAAGCGUGGGCAGCAAACAGG